CCUACGGGAGGCUGCAGUGAGGAAUAUUGGUCAAUGGUCGGGAGACUGAACCAGCCAAGCCGCGUGAGGGAUGAAGGUACAGAGUAUCGUAAACCUCUUUUGUCAGGGAACAAAGGCGGGUACGUGUCCCCGGAUGAGUGUACCUGACGAACAAGCAUCGGCUAACUCCGUGCCAGCAGCCGCGGUAAUACGGAGGAUGCGAGCGUUAUCCGGAUUUAUGGGGUUUAAAGGGUGCGCAGGCGGUCUGUUCAGUCAGCGGUCAAAGUCCGGGGCUCAACCCCGGCCCGCCGUUGAAACUGGCAGUCUCGAGUUGGAGAGAAGUAUGCGGAAUGCGCGGUGUAGCGGUGAAAUGCAUAGAUAUCGCGCAGAACUCCGAUUGCGAAGGCAGCAUGCCGGCUCCAAACUGACGCUGAGGCACGAAAGCGUGGGUAUCGAACAGGAUUAGAUACCCUGGUAGUC
rnacentral:rRNA from 1 species